UGGGGAAUUUUGGACAAUGGGCGAAAGCCUGAUCCAGCAAUGCCGCGUGUGUGAAGAAGGCCUUCGGGUUGUAAAGCACUUUUGUCCGGAAAGAAAUCCUUGGCUCUAAUACAGUCGGGGGAUGACGGUACCGGAAGAAUAAGCACCGGCUAACUACGUGCCAGCAGCCGCGGUAAUACGUAGGGUGCAAGCGUUAAUCGGAAUUACUGGGCGUAAAGCGUGCGCAGGCGGUUUGCUAAGACCGAUGUGAAAUCCCCGGGCUCAACCUGGGAACUGCAUUGGUGACUGGCAGGCUAGAGUAUGGCAGAGGGGGGUAGAAUUCCACGUGUAGCAGUGAAAUGCGUAGAGAUGUGGAGGAAUACCGAUGGCGAAGGCAGCCCCCUGGGCCAAUACUGACGCUCAUGCACGAAAGCGUGGGGAGCAAACAGGAUUAGAUACCCUGGUAGUCCACGCCCUAAACGAUGUCAACUAGUUGUUGGGGAUUCAUUUCCUAGUAACGUAGCUAACGCGUGAAGUUGACCGCCUGGGGAGUACGGUCGCAAGAUUAAAACUCAAGGAAUUGACGGGGUCAUAGCUGUUUCCU
rnacentral:rRNA from 1 species